rnacentral:rRNA from 1 species
UAGGGAAUCUUCCACAAUGGACGCAAGUCUGAUGGAGCAACGCCGCGUGAGUGAAGAAGGCUUUCGGGUCGUAAAACUCUGUUAUUGAAGAAGAACGUGUGUGACAGUAACUGGUCAUGCAGUGACGGUAUUCAAUCAGAAAGUCACGGCUAACUACGUGCCAGCAGCCGCGGUAAUACGUAGGUGGCAAGCGUUGUCCGGAUUUAUUGGGCGUAAAGCGAGUGCAGGCGGUCUUUUAAGUCUGAUGUGAAAGCCUUCGGNUACCGAAGAAGGG